UACGGAGGAUGCAAGCGUUAUCCGGAAUUACUGGGCGUAAAGCGUGCGCAGGCGGUUUUGUAAGCCAGAUGUGAAAUCCCCGGGCUUAACCUGGGAAUGGCAUUUGGGACUGCAAGGCUGGAGUGCGGCAGAGGAGACUGGAAUUCCUGGUGUAGCAGUGAAAUGCGUAGAUAUCAGGAGGAACACCGAUGGCGAAGGCAGGUCUCUGGGCUGACACUGACGCUCAUGCACGAAAGCGUGGGGAGCAAACAGG
rnacentral:rRNA from 1 species